GGAAGCCGGACAGACGGUCGCUGCCACGUGCAGAGGAAAGUCCGGGCUCCAAAGGGCAGAGUGCCAGGUAACGCCUGGGGGGUGUGAACCCACGGAAAGUGCAACAGAGAGAAAACCGCCUACGUUACUUCGGUAACCGGCAAGGGUGAAAGGGUGCGGUAAGAGCGCACCGCGUUGGUGGCAACACUCAACGGCAAGGUAAACCCCACUCGGAGCAAGAUCAAAUAGGGGAGCAAUGCCGCGGCCCGCGGUGCUUCCGGGUAGAUCGCUAGAAGUGCAUGGCGACAUGCAUUCCAGAUGAAUGACUGUCCACGACAGAACCCGGCUUAUGGACGGCUUCCGCAC
rnacentral:RNase_P_RNA from 2 species